rnacentral:rRNA from 1 species
GACGUAGGGCGCAAGCGUUGUCCGGAUUUAUUGGGCGUAAAGAGCUCGUAGGCGGCUUGUUGCGUCGUCCGUGAAAACCUGUGGCUCAACUACAGGCUUGCGGUCGAUACGGGCGGGCUGGAGUUCGGUAGGGGAGACUGGAAUUCCUGGUGUAGCGGUGAAAUGCGCAGAUAUCAGGAGGAACACCAAUGGCGAAGGCAGCUCGCUGGGACGGUACUGACGCUGAGACGCGAAAGCGUGGGGAGCAAACAGG